UGCUGUUUUGCUUUCCCUUUCCAGUCUUCGCCUAUUCAUAUAUGGACAGCUAACAUUUUGUGGUUUUGGGAUUAAAUAAAAAGGAACAGCUAGAGCUUUGUUGUUCGCAUUGUGACUAGUUUAAAGUUAAAGUUGAGGAAUGGCCGAAAAAUCGUGUGUCAAGCGUCUUCAGAAGGAAUAUAGAGCACUAUGUAAAGAGCCGGUUUCCCAUGUCGUUGCCUGCCCUUCCCCUAGUGAUAUCCUUGAGUGGCAUUAUGUAUUGGAGGGAAGUGAAGGAACAGCUUUUGCAGGUGGAUAUUACUACGGAAAGAUCAAGUUUCCUCCUGAGUAUCCCUAUAAACCUCCUGGAAUCACCAUGAUUACUCCUAAUGGACGCUUUGCAACUCAAAAGAAAAUCUGCUUGUCUAUGAGCGAUUUUCAUCCCGAAAGUUGGAAUCCAAUGUGGUCUGUAUCAAGCAUACUUACAGGGCUUCUUUCCUUCAUGAUGGACAAUAGUCCCACCACAGGCAGUGUGAACACUACUGAUGCUGAGAAAGCACAUCUAGCAAAGAAUUCUCUAGCUUUCAAUUGUAAGAACCCAACAUUUAGGAAGUUGUUUCCAGAGUAUGUGGAGAAGUUUAACCAGCAGCAGCAUUCUGAGCAGAUUAUUUCAGAGCGGGUGCCACAGGAGGAGAAAUCCAGACCUAGUAUGGAAAAACUUGAUAAUUCAUUAGAAGAUCUGAAUAGAAUAGAUACACUGAAGGACACAAGAAGAAACGCAAAGCACACAUUCCCAACCUGGGUGAUGUUGUUGCUGGUGUCCAUCUUUGGCAUCGUAAUGGCAUUGCCUUUGCUUCAACUCUGAUCUCUAGACUGCAGAAGUGCAAAUUUUAGAACGGUUAGCAGACAUGCAAGCUUUUGCUAGGUGAAGAACAAUUCUUAUAAUGCUCCUCAGUUAUGCCCUAUAUUCGACAGAACUUGUAUAGAGGUUGAUCCUGAAAGACUCACUUGGGUCUUUUUAUGUUAUCAUUGGGAGUUUGGUAGUUAAUUCCAAAGAGAUACAUGCUUGUGGCCUUAUUUU
rnacentral:misc_RNA from 1 species